UGGGGAAUAUUGCACAAUGGGGGAAACCCUGAUGCAGCGACGCCGCGUGAAGGAAGAAGUAUUUCGGUAUGUAAACUUCUAUCAGCAGGGAAGAUAAUGACGGUACCUGACUAAGAAGCUCCGGCUAAAUACGUGCCAGCAGCCGCGGUAAUACGUAUGGAGCAAGCGUUAUCCGGAUUUACUGGGUGUAAAGGGUGCGCAGGUGGUAAGGCAAGUCAGAAGUGAAAACCCGGGGCUCAACUCCGUGGAUUGCUUUUGAAACUGUCCUACUAGAGUCCGGGAGAGGUAAGCGGAAUUCCUAGUGUAGCGGUGAAAUGCGUAGAUAUUAGGAGGAACACCAGUGGCGAAGGCGGCUUACUGGACUGGUACUGACACUGAGGCACGAAAGCGUGGGGAGCAAACAGG
rnacentral:rRNA from 2 species